rnacentral:rRNA from 1 species
UACGUAGGGUGCGAGCGUUAAUCGGAAUUACUGGGCGUAAAGCGUGCGCAGGCGGUUAUGUAAGACAGAUGUGAAAUCCCCGGGCUCAACCUGGGAACUGCAUUUGUGACUGCAUGGCUAGAGUACGGUAGAGGGGGAUGGAAUUCCGCGUGUAGCAGUGAAAUGCGUAGAUAUGCGGAGGAACACCGAUGGCGAAGGCAGCCCCCUGGGUCGACACUGACGCUCAGGCACGAAAGCGUGGGGAGCAAACAGG